rnacentral:lncRNA from 1 species
UGUCAACAGACUUGGGAGUUUAGGCUCUGCUGGGAUUAGGGGAGGAGUUGAGAUACGAGAGAACUGACAGAACCAAGGCAGGAUCUGAGUCCAAGAGGGUAUAGGCAGGUUAUCCAGGGCGCUCAGGGACCUCAAGGCAGGGACCUCCUCAUCAUACUGGAGCUGGAGAUUUGUAUUUCUUAGUUCUUUGCCUAAUAUCUGAUCUUUGCCAAGAUACAAGGUCACAUAUGAAAAUGCCUUCAAAAAUAUAGUAAGAUGACAUAAAUAAUGCUUAAAACUAAUGGGCCAAGGGAAAGCAAGUGGUGUUAAAUGGGAGGCUGAGACAGGGGAUGGCUUUGAAAACUGAACUGACUUUGGAACCUCUGUCCACAGAAGGUGAGUCAUAAUUUGUGGUCUAAACCUAACUGGAAAGAAUUGUUAGGUUAAAAAAAAAAAUCAGUGUUCCCCAGAGGACUUUAAUAGGAUCCAGCAUCUUACAGCAUAAUACAGUCAUGUACCAUAUAACAAUGUUUUGGUCAAAAAUGGGCUGCAUAUACAACAGUGGUCCCUCGAGAUCAUGAUAUCAUAGUUUUACUGUUUCUUUUCUCUGUUUAGAUAUAUUUAGGUACACAAAUGCCACUGUGUUACAAUUGCAUGCAGCAUUCAGUACAGUAACAUGCUAUACAGGUUUGUAGCCUAACAGCAAUAAGAUAUACCAUGUAGCCUAGAUGCAUAGUACGCUAUACCAUCGGUUUUGUGUAAGUACACUCUAUGAUGUUUGCACAAUGACAAAAGUGUUUGAUGAGGCAUUUCUCAGAAUGUAUGUCUGUCAUUAAAUGACAUAUGAUCGUAUUCAAAAUGUCUAAGCUAUAAUCCAAAAUCACUCAAAAAAGUACUAGGAAAAUUUAAACUAUUAUCAAUGGAAAAGACAACCAAUAGAUGCCAAUCCUGAGACAACUCAGAUGUUGGAAUUAUCAAAGACUUUAAAGCAGUUGUUACAGCUAUACUAUAAGAACUAGAGGUGAACACUCCUGAAAUGAAUGGAAAGAUGAAGUUCUCAGGAGAGAAAUAGAAACUACAAAAGAAGAACCCAAUGGAAUUUUAGAACUAAACACUACAAUAUCUAAAAUAAAAAUUCAUUUUAAUGGGCUCAAUAUCAAAGUGAAAGUGACAGAGAAAAGAAUUAGUGAGUCAGUGAACUUGCAAUAGGUAAAUUGAAAUUAUCCAAUCUGAAGAACAUAGAGGAAAAACACUUAAAAAAUGAACAGAGCAUCAAGAAUUUAUGGGACAAUAUUAAAGGUCAUGCACACCAUUGUAUUCCUGAAGGAGAGGUGAAAAAGAUUGAUUGCAAAAAUAAAAAUUGAUGACAUAAUGGCUAAACACUCCCCAAAUUUGGUGAAAAAUACAUAGAUUUAAGAAACUCAGCAAGGCCAGGCACACGCCUGUAGUCCCAGCACUUUGGAGAACAAGGGUGGUGGAUCACUUGAGCCCAGGAGUUUGAGACGAGUCUGGCCAACAUAGGGAGAUCCUGGUGUCUUAAAAAAAAAAAAAAAAAAGUUAGCCAGGCCUGGUGGCAUGUCUCAGCUACUUGGGAGGCUGAGGUGAAAGGAUUACUUGAGCCUGGGAGGUUGAGACUGCAGUGAGCCGUGAUUGCACCACUGCACUACAGCCUGGGUGAAAGAGCAAGGCCCUGUCUCAAGAAAAAAGAAAAAGAAGAAACUCAACAAAUCUGAAAUAUGAUAAAUUCAAAGAAAACAAUGUCCAGACACAUUAUUAUUAAUCUACUGGAAAUGAGAGGAAAUGAAAAGUAUUUUGAAAGCAUCCAGAGAAACAUUACAAAACAGAAAUUAAAUGUUUUAUUGUAGCAGAACUCAAUGAAAUUGAAAACGGAACAACAGAGGAAUAUUAGUGAAAUGAAAAGCUGGUUAUUUAAAAGGAUUAAUAAAACUGAUAAACUUCUAGCCAGAUUGGCCAAGGAAAAAAAGAGAGAAGACAGAUUACUAACAUCAGGAAUGAAAAAGAUGACAUUACUACAGACCUUACAGAUAUUAAAAAGAUAUUAAGGGAAUACUACACACAACUCUAUGCUCAUAGAUUGAAUAUCUUAGAUGAAAUAGACCAAUUCCUUGAAAGACACAAACUAUUAAAACUCACUCAAUAAGGGAAUGGAGUAGCUAGGCUAUUUGAGGCAAGGGGCACGUCAUUGGGAAACCUGAGGCUGGCUUGGCAGUUUUAACUCCAAUUUGAGCCUCAACUCAUCUUUAAGGCUUAGACAUUCCGGAUCUUGGGCACCAGCACUGUUGGUGAUGGGGGGCAUUUCUUCGUCACUGGAGCCCUUGACCACUCAGAUGGCCAUUUAGCUUCUGGAUAUCUCCUGGCUCACUGGCUUUCAGGACAUCUUCUGGGUGUGGCUUAGGAGUUGGAGUCUCCUUAGACUUCCUAUCUCCUUGACAUCUUUGGCUCUUGAAGGAAUCCCUAAAUCUCCAACAUCUUUUUCCUAAAGUGAAAUCUCUGAGAAGAUGCUGUCCCCUGUGCUGAGCCCCUUCAGACCCUCUACCCUCUGUCCUCUGCCUCUAGGUACUGCUCUUCUAUGGCCAGAGUUUGCUGGGACAUCACUCUCAUCCAUUGGGUAUGUCCUGCCAUUGUCUGACUUGAAGUGACUUUGGACUGCCUCUCUUGUCCCCCUAACAGUCUCACUCUGACACAAUUUGUCCCUGAAGAUGGUAAAAGGAGCUUAAAAGUUUGCCUGCUUUCCUUCUUGGACUCACGGUCCUCUGUGACCAAACUCAGGGACUUUUGGACUUCCUGCUUAUAGCUGAGGAAGCAGGGAAGGAAUCUCUGGGGUGAGGACUGAAUUUUUUUGUGAUCCUCUUGUCUCCUGGCUUCAGCUUAUCUAACGGUUUCUUUCAAGGAUCUAAAGAACCUCCGCUUAGCCAUCAUGGAAACAUGGGGUGCUGAGGGAGAAAGGUGGACCUGGGAAGGAGCCAUGAUUGGGCCUCUGUCACCUUAAGUUUUAUGGAUUCAACAACUUUGAGAGAUCCUGCUGCUGACGGGACAUUCUCCAGCAAGGAUGGAGAUGGGUGCUCUGGUCUGAGAGGCCACGCUAUCCUGAGGAAUGUUGACAGCUGAAGGAUUCAAGGUUUCCUGAGAUCUUUGGACCAAAAAAAAUAUCGUGAGAUUGCAAGAAAAGGUUUUCUUAGAUCUUCACUUGCUCAACAAGGAAAUGGGAUGCCGUGGGAAGUUAUGAGUUCCCUGCCUGGGGUGCUCGAUAACUGAUUGGCAGGGAUGUUGUGGAGGCGGAGAGGAGGACUCCAACCCCAGGAUGCUAUGAGUCUUUAGUGCCCAUUGUCCCUAGGACGCCACCAGAGGUACGCAAUCUGAUGCGGAUUUCGCAACACAGCUUCUGAGGUUAGUGAUGCAAGUUCAUUCAGGAGAAAACUGUGUGGCUGGUGAGAUAGACCCAGGCUGUUGAGGCUGCUGCUGGGGCUAGAAGGGUCUGACUCAUGCUUCGCAGCCCGUGCCAGCAUUUCAGAGGGAAGCGAUGUUGUCUCUUGUUCUUCCUCCGCUCAUCCCCUAAGCCAGGCGUCUGGUCUUCAGCCCUUGUCUCUUUCAUUGCACACAACCACCUGAGAAAUCUCAGCCACCCCCCAGCCUCAACCCCCAUCUCUGUGAUAACUCCUAACUCUGUCUACAGCCUUGACCUCAUCCCUAAGCAACAGACUCAUAUAGCUAACAGUUUAUUGGACAUCUUCAUCUCAUUGUCCUACAUUUCAAACAUGAUGUUAUAAAAUUGGGAUGUUUUCUCCUGGCUUCAAAUCUGAAGUCCCUCAUCCAGCCAGCCACCCCAUACAGAAACCUUCCUCCAUCUCCCUCUUAAGUUCAUUUCUACCUUGUGUGCAAGUCCUGUGUAUUCCACUUCUAUGGCGUCUCUUCUUAUUGGCCUUUUUCAUUCUAGCUCUAUUACCACUGAUUUCAUUCCUGCCAGAGUGAGUAUACUUCAACCCAAGUGGGACUCCACCUCCACCAGGUGGUCAUUCCCCUAAAA